ACUGCAGUCGACGCGAAAGUUCCCUUCGGGGAGCAAGUAGAGUGGCGCACGGGUGAGUAACACGUAGGUAAUCUACCUUCGGAUGGGGAAUAACAACCGGAAACGGUUGCUAAUACCGCAUAAUGCAGCGGCACCUAAUGGUGACAGUUGUUAAAGCGGGGGAUCGCAAGACCUCGCGUCUGGAGAGGAGCCUGCGGCGGAUUAGCUUGUUGGUGAGGUAAUGGCUCACCAAGGCUGUGAUCCGUAGCCGGCCCGAGAGGGCGGUCGGCCACACUGACACUGACAUACGGGUCAGACUCCUACGGGAGGCAGCAGUCGGGAAUUUUGGGCAAUGGGCGAAAGCCUGACCCAGCAACGCCGCGUGAANGGAUGAAAUCCCUCGGGAUGUAAACUUCGCAAGAACGGGAAGAAUAAGUGGGAGUUAAUAUCUCUCGCGAUGACGGUACCGUUUGUAAGCUCCGGCUAACUCCGUGCCAGCAGCCGCGGUAAUACGGGGGGAGCAAGCGUUGUUCGGAUUUACUGGGCGUAAAGGGCGCGUAGGCGGCCACCGCAAGUCGAUUGUGAAAUCUCCGGGCUUAACCCGGAAAGGUCAACCGAUACUGCGGGGCUAGAGUGCGGAAGGGGCAACUGGAAUUCUUGGUGUAGCGGUGAAAUGCGUAGAUAUCAAGAGGAACACCUGCGGCGAAGGCGGGUUGCUGGGCCGACACUGACGCUGAUGCGCGAAAGCUAGGGGAGCGAACGGGAUUAGAUACCCCGGUAGUCCUAGCCUUAAACGAUGAAUGCUUGGUGUCUGGGGUUUUAUAGUCCCCGGGUGCCGUCGCUAACGCUUUAAGCAUUCCGCCUGGGGAGUACGGUCGCAAGACUGAAACUCAAAGGAAUUGACGGGGACCCGCACAAGCGGUGGAGCAUGUGGUUUAAUUCGACGCAACGCGAAGAACCUUACCUGGGCUAGAAUGCCUCUGACAACCUUAGAGAUAGGGCCUUCUGGGUAAAACCAGACAGAGUGCAAGGUGCUGCAUGGCUGUCGUCAGCUCGUGUCGUGAGAUGUUGGGUUAAGUCCCGCAACGAGCGCAACCCUUAUCAAUAGUUGCCAGCGGUUCGGCCGGGCACUCUAUUGAGACUGCCGUUGACAAAACGGAGGAAGGUGGGGAUGACGUCAAGUCCUCAUGGCCUUUAUGUCCAGGGCUACACACGUGCUACAAUGGCCGGUACAAAGCGCUGCAAGCCUGCAAGGGGGAGCCAAUCGCAAAAAACCGGUCUCAGUUCGGAUUGGAGUCCGCAACUCGACUCCAUGAAGCUGGAAUCGCUAGUAAUCGCAGAUCAGC
rnacentral:rRNA from 1 species